CUUUUAUUUGAAUAAAGUAAAAGGACUCCUCUGUCUCCUUUUUGGAGACAGAGGAGUCCUUUUACACCAUAAACCUCUGGUGUUCGUGGAUUAAUUUUCCUGACAUUCCUAUCCCCAGAUCUCUGCCUAAAGGCCCCUUGAUUUCAAAAUAAUAAUAAUUCGGAGGGAGGGGGUCUACAUUCUUUCAUUCCAAGGGAGGCUCCUGCCCUCCCUAGCAGACACCUGUCUUCUAGAACCGAGACAUAUGGCUAAGUAAAGAACAAAUAAUAACUAAUUAAAUGCCUUAAGUUUUGUUUCAGGGCAAGGAAAUUACUGUUGGAUUGCUGAUCAGCCAAGCUUUUCUAGAGAGAAAAAAUCAAGACUUCCAUACAUAAAAAAUUCAAUGUGUAGAAUUCAAAAUAAAUUCAAAGGUAUCCAUCUCUGAUCCAUUGCAACUAUUAUAAGAAAUAGAGCACUGGUCAUGUUUCUGCAGUAUACUUUUCUUCAUUAAAGGAAGAGGCUAAAAUCAGCUUUUUAAUGAAAUAAGCUGAAAUAGUAUUUGGCUUCAUCAGAAUAUUGCAAAUUUGUAAUGAAAUUCAUCGACUUCUACAGAGUUUCUUGUGAUGGCCUCCAAGUAUCAAUAUUCAACGAGACAGUGAAAAGAAGGCAGAUGUAAUUUUCUCCUAUUGUAUAAGUCCAUACCCUGGAGAAUUAAUUCAGAAAAUUUUAUUAUUUCUCUCUGGUUACUUCACUGCAUCAAAUGUUAGAAAGGUCAGUAAAAUCUUUUACCUAUUGAAGCCAAUAGUAAAUAGAAUUAGUAGGACACAUAUUUUGCCUCUCAUUUAAUGGAAUACCUCCCUUGUAGUUAUUGUUUUAAACUAUUGUUGCAUUACUUUUAGUUUAGGAACUUAAGCCAAUCAGACCUGGCUGUUAUUUAUAAACUGAAGAUUGAAAAUCUGAUGUCUAUAGGAGUCAGACUUGUCUCUGAGCAAGAAAACACACAUUCAUUUAUGUGUAGUUAACAUUUUCAAAACAACAUGAUAUACUGUAAGACUCCUAA
rnacentral:lncRNA from 1 species